CUGAUACAAACUUAUCAACGGAUAUUUCCUAUUAAAAUACGCAUUUUCUAAUGCUGCCUGCAUCUGAUUUUCUCCUCUCACGAUACGAAAGGAUUAUAUUUUCAUUUCUAACAGAAUGGAUGUGACUUUUCAUGCCAUGGACUUGGUGUCAUGGAGCAGCAAGAUCCAUCACGAAGGAAAUGGUUUUUCACCAGUCAAAGUAGCCAACACCCUUGGCUGUGUGAAUUUUGGCUGAGAUGGUGAGGAGUGUUGCCACCCAAGUAUGAUUCCACCGCCAACUCCAUCGAUGUUUCACACUGAGAAUGGGUGAAUGUUUGGAGUAUGGAAAUAAUUCAAGGAACAUAAAUUGAUGAAGGUAAAGGGUCACAAAGAAGUUGAGGUAAGAUGCCUUUUUAAACAAUUUUACCUUGUACCUUCAGUGCAAUCCAUAGGAAUUUGUUGCCAAGAUAUAUGGUGCUUUCCACGUGUCAUUCAUUUUACAAAAAAAAAGUAAUCUAUAUGAUGUGCUGUUUUCAAAAGUGAAUGUAAAACUGUACUUAGCUAUAGCUGUUGGAGGAUGUCCUGAGGGGCUACAGUGACAGUGGCUUAUUGCCAAUCAGGCGGAAAACUGGAAUUCUAUUCUUGCCUUUUCAUCCAUAUAAGUAUCCAUAUGAACAGAGCUUAAAUCUUCUAAUAAAGAGCUCUUAAUUUCAUCAGAAGUUAGAAGUCAGUACAACUGAUAGCUAGAAAAAUCCUGACUUCAACAGAAGUUUAUUUUGAGUAGAGAAGUUAAUUAACCUUUGGAACAUUGCACAAACAGAACAUUUAUGAUAGAUUGUCACUGGUCAUUUUUAUAUUAUACUUCUGAUUCUCACUCGUAUCCUAAUAUUCUAUUUCUAGAAUAUAUGCUUUAAGAUAAACUCAUGUUAUUCAUGAGAUCAGACAGGGUAGUUUCAUUUGUUUACUGUAUGCCAUUAACCUACUUCUAGCUUGUUGUGUGAUACAAGGACAUUGCUUUAUCUUUUUUUCUUUAGUGUCUCAAUUUCUUAAAUACACACACAUAUAUAUAUUAUAAGUACUUAUAUAUUUUUUUUAAUUCUUCAAAGGAAAUCAGCCAGAUAAUGUCUUAGGAUUUUGAUAAAAUAAUUCUUCUUGCAUAUGCCAUUGAUGCAAAGAUUCAACUAUUAGUCAAACAGUGCUAAGAAGAUGUUGGCUCAUAAACUUAUAUGAUUACAGUACUUAAAUUAUGAAAAAAGAUUUUCACAUAAAUCUAUUUUUCAGGUUAGCAAAACCCAAGGUGUCUUUACUGGGAGCAUGACUAAAUAUUUACAGUAUUGUACCUGAGUUUAUUUGUCAUCUUCCAUUAAUGCUGAAGGGGGGAAGAGGAAGUGUGUUUCAGCUGAACUCACGGGGACUUAGAUCAAGAUCCUGUUUUGGAAUCUGUGGUCUAGUUUUAAAGAAACUCUCAAGUACUGAAGCACUGCAGAAUUCUUUGUGACACCUACUUUCUACUAACUACAAAAGGAGUUAUUUCUAUUCAUCCACUGUACCCCCUUUAGAACAGGAACUACUGUAGAUAUAGAAAACUCGGAAAAUCAGUAUUGUAAUAAAUAUAGUACACAUAAUCAUCUUGGGUAGUACAUGAUGGAACAAGCAGUGUAAUCCUAGCAAAAAUUAGGAAAAAAAAACAACCAACAAACAAAACUAAAACAGCUUCCUUAUUUGUUUGAAGAGGAAAUGAGUGGUUUCAUUUUAAGCUCUUCUUCCUCUACUAUUCAGAAUACUACUUAUUAGGAAAAAGUAGUGCUAAAACCAGGAGGUAUAUAGGGAAUGCAAGUGUUUGGCACUUACAAAUCUAAACAGGAUGUGCUAUGUUUCAAAAAACACAGAGAUACUAAGGUACAAGUAAUGUCAUUCCAUACUAAGGGCCAGAUCUAAAAAGAGGCCAGAGCUUACAACUCCAUCCUGCCGUUUUGGUGUUCUGGAAUGUGUACUUUUAUAAAUCUGGCCAGCACAGUAAACUUAAAACAGUGAUGUUUUGUAUUAGGGAUAGGAAAGCCCUGGGACGCAUUGGAACUACUGAGCAUCUCUAUCCAUGAUUCAGUAGAGAGCAGUGAAGGCAGAGGUGAAUGUUGAAUCCUGUCUUAAGACAUUUAAAAGAGAACCACUUCCUUCUGUUAAAAUGUUGCAGAUGUUCCUCUCCCAGUAUAACUUCUAAAUCUUUACAGAGUGAAGUUAAGUUUGUUUGUUUCUUUCUUUUUUUGAAAAUGUUUCCAGUAAUCAUAAACACCUCAGAAACAAUUACAUGCUUAUUGUUAGUGCUUAUACACAUACACAGUGCUCAUUCUACAUGGGAAAUGUAGAGUCCAACUUCCACUUUAGAGGACUCAAAUAUAUCUUCUGCUGUGAGUAUUGUCUGUAACUGACUUGGAGUGAUAAAGUGGCAGUCUACAGUUGUUCUUUUGAAUCUGAGUUACUGUAGGUAAACUAUAUGAAACAAAUACAAAGAAAGUUAUUAGGCUUCAUGAUUAAGCCUUCAACUGGAAAUGGGGAGACCCUAGGACCUUACAAGUGGCAGAAUCAUCUUGUUUACGCACUCAUUCAUUUUUUCUCUUGUACAAUACAUACACUGUUUUAGAAACAGUGUAUGAGCAGAAACUGGAACAUAGGAAGUUGCAUACUAAUACAAGCAAGAACUUUAUUGUCAGCAGCACUGGCAUAAGCUGCCCAGCACGGCUGUGGACUUUCCUUCUCUGGAGAUAUUCAGGACCUGUCUGGUCACCUACCUGCAUGACCUUCUUUAGGGAAGCUGCAUUAGCAGGGGUGUUGGAUUUGAUCUACACUGGUCCCUUCCAACAAUUCUGUGUCUCUGUGAAACGUCUUAAAACAUUGGUUUCUCACCUUUUCCUGUCAUGUUCUAGUCUUUGAACAGAAACCUUGAAAUCUUGACAUUUCAAGAACAGCUUCAGAGCAGUGUUUCUUGUUGCUUUUCCAUGCAUAUGUAUACUUUUAUUUUGCUGGUAAACAAAACACAAGAAGAAGGUGUAGUUACUAUUGCUUUUUUGUGGAACCUGAUCUAGAUCAACUAGCUGCAUUGUCAGAAUUCCUCUGUGGUAAUUGAUAUGUGUAAAGACAGGCAUGGAUCCAGCAAGGAAGGCACUUAGCAGCCUUAAAAAUGAAAGCUAAAUUGGUUUAGAGUUUGAUUGUAUUUGCUAGUAGCUAAGUAGUUUCUCCAGGAUUGCCUAAACUCUACCUAAAUUUCAGUUUGAUUCCCAAGUCCUUUUAUUGCAUCUGACCAUACCAUGGCUGUUCACUGAAUAAAGAUCAAAAGCACGCCUUCUGCAGUCACUAUAUAUGGUCAAACCCCACUGCUUUUGAUUUCUCUUUUGACAUCAAAGUACUAGAAAAAGCAUCUUCACUGACUUCACUGAUGUACUUUAACUGGGUGGUCUAUAAAUUGACUAAAGCUUUACUUACUGUAUUAAAGUACAAGACUUGCAUCACUUGCAUAUAGUCAUUUCUUUCCUUAAUUGACAAUUGCAAUAUACUUUGUGAAAAUAUAGUAAAUUUAAUUUACCAGGUAGUGAUUCUUGUGUCAGAAUUAAAAGCAGCAAGUGUGAACUGUACCUGUACCCACAGAACAUGCUGACCUGAAACAGUUUGUCACUUUGUAUCUGAAGCAAUAGAAGAGAUUUUUAACCCAUGUUGCUGUUUUCAAAGUAGAUCUAAUUUGUGUCAAUCAUGCUGACAAGGCAACUGUAAACCAGAACAAAAGGAGACCAGACCAGUGUGAAAAACAUGUAUUCUGCGUGCACAAAGUAAACUGGAAAUGUGGUCUUUUAAAAAAGACAUUUUACUAUGUGUGUAAGGGAAUGUUGAGACACUCUUAGGAAGCAGCAACUCAUAUGCUGACCUUUAUGCACCCUGAGACUAAGAUGCGUUGUGUUCAUUUUAAGCCAGCAAGAUGAAGACACAAAAGUUGUGUUAAAGUAUGUUUCAACUAUUUGUCAAGGCCAGAAUAGUGGUAAAAUCCUGUUGGAUUUUUCUAUCAAAUAAAUUCUCGUCAUCAAAUAAAACUUUUGCAGGGACCAAACCAAUAGCCAUAAGUGUGCUCCUGUGUUCAAACAUAGGUGCUCUUUAGAACCAACUCAAGAUACUUCUGUCUAAAUCCCAAUUUUCAGAUUGUGAUGGGUGUUAGGAAACACAAGGCUAUCUCUUUCUAUAUAGAUUCAUGUAACAUAAUUCUGUUAGAUGGCACGCAUUUACUCAUGGGUUAAGAUUAUAAUUGCAUUUCAAAGCAGUUCUCUCGAAACAUUCUAAAACAGAUUAUGUUCUUAAAAACUCUGCUCUUUACUUUGCAUGUUUUAGUACCACAUCCCAUUAAAGCUGUGUUUGAAGUUACUAGGAUUUGUUAAAAAUUUGAUAAUGCCUAAGUAGAUAAGAGAUUAUAUGCUUUAUGUAUAUAUUUGAAGGAUUUGUUCCAGCUUGGAUACAGUGUAUUAAUUGGCCACCUACAGUGAACAGCAGUGUUUAAUAUUUAGAAUCCUUUUCUUCAUUGUUUUCCAGGCAGAAGAGUAUGUAAGUAUUCUUUUAAGUAAAUUUGCUAACUUUCUGGAACACAUUUAAACAAUGUGUGCUACUUGUGUCAUAUUACAUUAACUUCACUUCUACAGACAGGUUGUAUACAUAUGUAAUAAAUAGCCCCUCAGGGAUCAGAUCUAGAUUAACUGAGAAAAACGUACUCUGCUGUACGUUAAGUAAUUUACAAUAUCUCAGUAAACAUUAGAAAAGACGUUUGUCUCACUAGAACAGGUUAACAGUGCCUGCAGACUCAGUAAUGAUUGUAGAAUGUUAAACUAUCAAGUGGAAAGUUAUAAUUGCUUUAAAUAGUCUAAUUUUUCCCCCUAAAACCUCAGUCUAUCUGGAGUUUGAUACCAUGAUGUCUGUAAUAACACUGAAUGUUUAUGAUACAGAAUGAAAAUAGUAAAGAAAGACACCAGUUCUGCAAAGGAUCUAAACAAAGUGACUUAAAACUGAGAGGGAAAUGCUUGGAGAGAAAACUUGUUUAAGUGGGUAAUCUUUUAUUUAAAUAUUAUUCCUUUGUAAUUAAAUUAUAAUAUCUGCAAUUAGAGAAGAAGCGUGUUUUAGGCAUGCUAGUUUUAUUUACGUAUCACAACAUCCACGUAGCCUCUCUAUGACUAUCAGCUCAAUUACUGCCUGCUAAUUAUUUCAGUGCUAUGGCAGGUAUGGCAACUGUGGUAUUGUUGGCUUUGGUUUUUAUUGUCUCAGUCUAAAUCUAAUUAACAGUGUUCUAAGUAAGCCUACAAAAGUUACUUCAGAAGAGUUUGGAUGCUUGGACAUUUAUCACAACUCUUAUUAGAUUUACCAGCUAUUGAGAAAAGUAACAUAUAGUAUUGCAAAAAAUAAAUGUUAUCCUUUCUUACUGUAAAAUUGAUGUUGGGUGCAUUGGAUAACUGUAAGUUUUCCCAAGUCCUAAGAAAACAGCACUCACCCCACAGCACUCAUACAAGCUUAGGGUAAACCACAAAGCAUCAGAAGUGCUGAGGUUUCAGGGUUUAGCCUAGCUGUCUUGUCUUUGAUAUGCAGAAGGGGGUAGAAAAUAGGCUAAGUUCCGAAUGCAGAAGCAUAUUUAGAAUUCUGUCUUAAUUGAUCAUUUAAGGAAAACCAUCUUAAUUGUUUAAUUACAUUAUUUAUCUGUCUUAAAGUCAAGCAAGAGGCCCACCAGCAUUGAGAAAUAACAAACUGUAGUAGGAGAGUGGCUAGAGCAGACAGCCAUAAGCCCUGGACUCUGGAGGAGCCAUUUAACACUGUUUGCUUGUCCUGAACUAGAAAUAAUAAAUGCUUCAUUAUACUCAAUUAUUGGAGACCUUAAGAUAAGAAGCGCCAUAUUAGAAAUAAUCAUUAUUUUCUUAUAUAUCAGCUUUGCAACAAAAACAACUGAAGACUUUUGUGCAUGGAGUAAGGAUAAUUUAAUAUACAUUAAGUUCCUACAUUACAUUAGGAGUGGCUAAAAAUAUGUAUUAAUCACAUAUGAAAAUGUUAAAGUAACUAAAAAACAGUUGAAGUACAUGUUUGUAAACAUCGUGGCUAUCUUCAGAAGAGGCAUAAGUAAGUCAGAAACCAAGGUGUUCUGUUUACUUACUAUAUAGAAACAGAUUGAUUCAUUGUACACGUACUGUUUGGGGAGAGAGGAAAAAUACUUUUCAAACAGGCAAAAGUUACAGUCGCAAGGGAGGGCCAAAUUUUAAGUUCAUAGCAUGGGAGAGCUGGUGAGGUGUAAUUCCGUAGAAGUGAUAUCUAUUGAAGUAAGAAUCAAAGAAUACAGUUUGUUUCAGGUAGGCCUGACUAUAGUUCUGUUCCAUUUAUCCAUAAACAGUAAAGGAAAAGGCAUAAUCAUUUGUUUAUUCAGCUGAGAAUUUGACAUAUGUCAGGCUUUGAGAGAAACUUGAAAACUGAGUACAGUGGAAUUUAUCUACCAGCUGUGCUUUGUACUUACUUGCAGGUGAGUGAAUUCUGUUCUCUCCUUGUCUUCUUUCUCCGCUCCAUCCAGUGAAUAACUGCAAUCCAACACACAAGUGUCGUGCAGCGCCAAUAAUUCAGCAUACAGGUUCAUUUAUAAUUAAAUAAUGUGCCUUAUUUAAAAAAAAAAAAGAAAAAAGAAAAGAAAGUGUUUAUUAGAAAGAAAUCAAUAACUUUAAAUAAUGACAUUGAUUUUUAAAGUGUGAUGAGGUGUAUCGUAUCCUAGCAAAAAUAAGAAAGUAAAUUAAAAACCUACCAUGAACUCAAAAAUUAUGUGGACACAAUCUCUGUUACUUUAAAGUGAGAUAUAAAUCCAGAGAUUUCUCAUGCCAUCAUUUUGUAAAUAAUUACAGUUCUGCUGAAUCUGUUGUAUAAAGUUUACAUGGGAGGUUCAGUGCACCCUCGCUCUUGUUUAGAACAUUCAGAACCACCAGAGAGAUGUUGACAUAUGGCUGCACUGUUUUAGUGCACGAGACAUCUACUACAUGGGAGCAUAAUAAACAGGAGCAUAAAGACAGGUUUGUGCAAGCAGUUUGGAUUGACCUUUUUGGCAGCUGAAAUCCAUCUUGAGUACAUGGUGCUGAUGUGGACAGACAUGUAAACUUCGUCUUGUUACCACAACUACUAGUUUUACAAAUAUAUUCCAAUGCUCAAAAUGUAUAUCAUUUUAGGUAAAGAGAUUUUAAAUGGGAGAGGAGUUACAACAGCAACAGUCCUAAUUAGAUUCGGCAGAAACUGUCUCUUCAGUUUGUGGCAAUGCACCUAGUGAUAAAUAGUUAUGUAAGUAUGUUUUAUACCAGUAGGAAUUCCCAAGAUAAUGCCAGGGAGAUGGCUCAUUUAAUGUAUUUGUUCUCUAGCAAAAUAUUUGAUCAACUGGUACAGUAUGUUAAUUUUAGCAUUUAAAAGGAACAAUCUGCUGUCCUUUCAGUGAGCAGUUCUUAGGUCAAAAUGAUCAAAAAGGAGGAACGUUUGUUUAACCACCUUUUACUCUUGAAGAGGAGUCUAAGAAUCUGGUCCACAUUCAUAUUUUUAGAUACUGAAUGAAUCCAAUUGCAUUUUUGAAGAAACAUUUUUCCAAAUAUUUUCCACCUUUUGACAAGUAUCUAGGGAAUAAUUAAAUUGUUUUAUCAAGUCCUAAUCUACCACUGCAUACUGAGGACCUGUAUGAGCCUAUGUGUAUACUGUAGCAGCAUUUGGCUCUGUUUCCUCUGUACAGAUAUUCAUACGCACUGAUGAGAUCUCCCUGAACCUUGUCUCCUCUUGGAUAAACAAUGUCAGCUCUCAGCCU
rnacentral:lncRNA from 1 species